GUGUCAGUAAAAAUGGCGUCAACUUAAUACCUAUAGAGCCUUGGCCACAUGCUUCUACCUGCAUCAUUUAUUGUGUAACAGUCGGUAUAACCCAAGGAGGUAGAACUCAUUAUUGUCCCUGCUUUUAUUUGGUAGAUAAGAAAUUGAGCCACGGACUGGUUACCGACAUGCUCCAAGGAACACCUGUAGUAAGUGGUGGAAGCCAUGUUUAAGCCCGAGGAUCUGCGUCACGAGAUGUGUUCACGGGAGAAGAGACUUCGGCGUGGAUUCCGGCUUUCAGGAUGUCCUGCGUUGGAGGAUGCAGCUCCACACCCAGCAUGGAGCCCAAUGUGGGAUUCGAACUCACAACCCUGAGAUCAAGACCUGAGCUGCAGUCAAGAGUCUGAGUCUUAACCAACUGAGCCACCCAGAUGCCCCCCAGAGGCAUGGUCAUCACUGGAAGGCACCGCCAAUGGCUGGACCACCUUCUCUUUUGUCCGGAAGCAGAAAACACAAACACAGGAUUUGGAGAGAGCUCUCUGCUGUGAGGACCCGAGUUCCCCAUUCCCCACUUGCUGGGCUGCUGUCAGAAGGAAGAAGAGUAGUUUGUGCUACAGCAUUUAGCAAUAGGAAGGCAUGUUGGCUGAGAGAAUGAAAGAAAUCGGUGAGAAAAUAGAAAGAAGAAAGAAAUUGAGGAGCCACAAGGAAAGGAAGAAAUCACCUAGAAGUGAAAGGAGCUUAAAAGGCCAGGAAUAUGAAGAUGGCAUCCAUCAUUCUAAUGAAGGACCUUGACCUCUCUGUGGUGUGGACUGAGGAAAUGCCCAGGCAUCCUGGGGAAGAGGGAGCUCAAAGAACCCUACCUUGAGACAUCCUACAUAAAAACAAUCUCCCCUGGACCUGAGAAGGCAGGCAGAAAGGUUUGUCGAGGAAGGCUUCAUGGAAUGAUGGAAUUGUUUGAAAUCAUUGAAAAACAGAAGAAUCUUGCUCAGUAAAGCUGGAUGCAAAGGGCAUAAGAUUUCUAUCGUAUGUGAAAGCAGACAUAAAGGCCAGGAAGUUGGGAAAAUGAAGAAAAAGUAAAUUUCAAGGGAUAUACGCACCAAGAAGGGAGGAAUCAAAAAUAUAGUCUGUAUCAACCUGGAAACUGAAGACAAAAACUGAAAUUAUCUAUAAUUAUAUCCAUAUCCAUAGAGACAUUAUGCAAAAUAAUCUUAUGUUACAUAGGCACCGUUGCUGCCGUGGAAUAAGCUGUAUUUUAAAGACGUGGUGACUUUAAGUGGCUCUCACAAGGACAUUGGCUGCAAUGGAGCAUUAAAACAUCUGUGAUCUUCUGGCUCUGCCCCUGUGUCUGUUUCAUAAACUGGCCUUGUCGAGAUGAAAAAUGUCAUGCCAUCCACAACCUGAAGAGGCAUGUCUGCAAAAGGACAAUAGGAACAGAGUCUGUCACUUCCCCUCAUUAGAUAUACAGACGGAUUAUUUCUAGUACUUCUGGCCAGAUUGUUUUGUUUCAACUCUACCUGUGACUGAGCUAUGGGUGCUGCUGAAAAUUUUACACCCAUAAUACAAGCAUUCCCCCUCACGCAACAAGUCAGCACACAGUUUAUGGCAGAUAUUAAUUACGGCGGUUUUCCUUUGUCAUUGUACCUCUCUUUGACGUAAGUAAAGCCAGUGACUCAGAAUUCUGGGCCCACAUCAUGGGGAUGUGGCAGCACUAACAGAAAAAUGAACAAGCCCGGAGAUGGGAAAAAUCUGUAAGAGGACUGAUUUAAACAGGAGAAGCCAUCUGUCACCAAAGACCUUUCUGCCCCCAGGCCCGCUGAUAUCAGUCAGAAAACAAGGUCACAAGGCUCCAGGACCAAGGAUCGUCAAGAAGGAAAGUUCACAGUGGCUUAUUGACAAGAUUGAAGAAAAACUCCUCAGAAAUUAAUAACAAGCACCUGACAGAUAUGCCUGCUGUCUCCAAUGCAAGACAUCCCAUGACGUUCAGUAAUUAAUGGUAUGACCUACACAUUAUUGGGAAAAUUAAUGAGUA